UUAUAAUGAAUUUGGUAUACCCCAUUUGUUUGUUUAAUUUUUCUUAUUCUUAAGUUAAGCUUAAAGCAACCAAGAAAUGCUUGCAAAGAAGGAAGCGUAGGACACUUCGAGUGGUGAUGAUAAGAAUUAGUGUCGGCAUUUCAAGGUACACUUUAUCGCUUUCUAACCAAUUGUGAGGUAGGUUUCCAUUGUACACUAAAUGCGGGAAACCAAACAUUAUUUCAAUUCAUUCUUAUCAUGAUAAAUCAUGCAUUAAUCUAUUUUUGUGAAAAUUGUGGAAAUGAUAGAGGCAUUGUUUGUUAUGAGAAAAACCACUUGGCCAAAAAGUUUUGAAUCAACUAACCUUGUGAGGAGUGAUCCUUAGUUAACCCCCUUUGAGCUUGUUUUAGGAUUCAUUUGAUUGAUAAGUGUAAAGUCAAUUGAAAAGUUUGUGAAUAAAUGAAUCCUAAUUUCUUUCGUUUCAAUUGAACCUUCAAACCGAGUUUGUUUGCAAAUUUUGCCUUUCGCCUAUGUCUAAGUAGGGAGCAUUAUUGAAUAAAUUUGGUUUUGAAAUCUAAAGUUGGGGAGAGUAAAUUAGAAGAGUUGAUUAGAAACUUGGAAAAGUGAUGUUUUAUAAAAGGGUGAAAGUGUGAAAAGAAACAAGAAAAAGAAAUCACCUUUGAAACUAUAGAGCAAAGAAAAAGAAAAGAAAGAAAAAACAAAGAAAAAGCUCAUGGUUGUGCGGAUGUGAAAAAUAAGAAAAGAAGAAAGAUGGGGAUCAAAGAAACGGAAAUUGUUGUUGAGUUGAAUGUAUGGGAAUGCUCCCUUAGGAUAGGCAUUUUUGUUGAAUUCUCUUAAU
rnacentral:lncRNA from 1 species